rnacentral:rRNA from 1 species
AGAGAGAGACAUGCGCGCAUAUCAAUAAGCGGAGGAAAAGAAACUAACAAGGAUUCCCCUAGUAACGGCGAGUGAAGCGGGAAGAGCUCAAAUUUGAAAUCUUAAAGGGUUUCCCUUUACGAAUUGUAGUUUAAAGAAGUGUUUUCUGUUGAGGUUUUGGUAAAAGUUCUUUGGAAUAGGACAUCAUAGAGGGUGAGAAUCCCGUAUUUGACCUUUACUUUCAACUUUGUGAUACACUUUCAAAGAGUCGGAUUGUUUGGGAAUGCAGUCCAAAAUGGGUGGUAAAUUUCAUCUAAAGCUAAAUAUUGGCGAGAGACCGAUAGCGAACAAGUACCUUGAGGGAAAGAUGAAAAGAACUUUGAAAAGAGAGUUAAACAGUACGUGAAAUUGUCAAAAGGGAAGCGUUUGACACCAGUGUUGUUUUUCUGAAAAUCAAUUAAAGAACUGUUUAUGCUAAGUUGUUUAGACUUUAUCAGCUAACUGUUUAGUUUUGAGCUUUUCUUUAAUGCACUUUUCAGUUAACAAGUCAACAUCAAUUUCUUUUGCUGUAAAAAAGCUUGAGGAAGGUGGCUUGAGAUUCGUCUUAAGUGUUUAUAGCCUCUUGCCUAUGCAGUCGGAGAGAUUGAGGUCUGCAGCGUAGAUCCUUCGGGGCUAAAUGCAUUUGUGCUAAGUUAUAGCAUUUUAUAGACAACUUGUUGACUAUGAUUUGUCUUGUAGCUUACUCGCUUAUGUUAUUUUACCUACGCUUAGGAUGUUGACGCAUGAGAUAUACGC